AUCAACUUUCGAUGGUAGGAUAGAGGCCUACCAUGGUGGUAACGGGUAACGGGGUGUUAGGGCACGACACCGGAGAGGGAGCCUGAGAAACGGCUACCACAUCCAAGGAUGGCAGCAGGCGCGCAAAUUACCCAAUCCCGACACGGGGAGGUAGUGACAAUAAAUAACAAUACAGGGUUCUUUCGGAUCUUGUAAUUGGAAUGAGUACAAUUUAAAUCUCUUAACGAGGAACAAUUGGAGGGCAAGUCUGGUGCCAGCAGUCGCGGUAAUUCCAGCUCCAAUAGCGUAUAUUAAAGUUGCUGCAGUUAAAAAGCUCGUAGUUGAAUUUCGGGAGCAAUAUGUCGGUCGUGCUUUUGUACGUACUGGCAUAAUUGGUUUCUCCCUUCUGAAGAACCUUGAUGUCAUUAAUUUGGUGUCUUGGGGAAUCAGGACUGUUACUUUGAAAAAAUUAGAGUGUUUAAAGCAGGCUCGCGCUUGAAUACAUUAGCAUGGAAUAAUGAAAUAGGACGUUUGAUUCUAUUUUGUUGGUUUCUAGGAUCGACGUAAUGAUUAAUAGGGAUAGUUGGGGGCAUUAGUAUUCAAUUGUCAGAGGUGAAAUUCUUGGAUUUAUUGAAGACUAACUACUGCGAAAGCAUUUGCCAAGGAUGUUUUCAUUAAUCAAGAACGAAAGUUAGGGGAUCGAAGACGAUCAGAUACCGUCGUAGUCUUAACCAUAAACUAUGCCGACUAGGGAUCGGAUGAUGUUAAUUUUUUAAUGACUCAUUCGGCGCCUUACGGGAAACCAAAGUGUUUGGGUUC
rnacentral:rRNA from 1 species